UACGUAGGGUGCAAGCGUUAAUCGGAAUUACUGGGCGUAAAGCGUGCGCAGGCGGUUCCAUAAGACAGAUGUGAAAGCCCCGGGCUCAACCUGGGAACUGCAUUUGUGACUGUGGGGCUAGAGUACGGUAGAGGGGGAUGGAAAUCCGCGUGUAGCAGUGAGAUGCGUAGAUAUGCGGAGGAACACCAAUGGCGAAGGCAAUCCCCUGGACCUGUACUGACGCUCAUGCACGAAAGCGUGGGGAGCAAACAGG
rnacentral:rRNA from 1 species